rnacentral:snRNA from 1 species
AUACUUACCUGGAGCCGCCGCCUAUUUGAUCACCAAGGACAAACCCCCAGGGCAAAGCACGGGCAUUGCACUGCGCUCGCGUUAACCCCUGCCAAUACCCCAAACUGGGGCAGAUGGGGCAGGCAAAUUGCUUAAAUCCGGUUCAGCGCAACAGAGGGCGCCACCGCU